CCGGCACGGGUGAGUAACGCGUAUGCAACUUACCUAUCAGGAGGGGGAUAACCGGCGAAAGUCGGACUAAUACCGCAUGAAGCAGGGGCCCCGCAUGGGGAUAUUUGCUAAAGAUUCAUCGCUGAUAGAUAGGCAUGCGUUCCAUUAGAUAGUAGGCGGGGUAACGGCCCACCUAGUCUUCGAUGGAUAGGGGUUCUGAGAGGAAGGUCCCCCACAUUGGAACUGAGACACGGUCCAA
rnacentral:rRNA from 1 species